rnacentral:rRNA from 1 species
GAUGAACGCUGGCGGCGUGCCUAAUACAUGCAAGUCGAGCGAAUGGAUUAAGAGCUUGCUCUUAUGAAGUUAGCGGCGGACGGGUGAGUAACACGUGGGUAACCUGCCCAUAAGACUGGGAUAACUCCGGGAAACCGGGGCUAAUACCGGACAACAUUUUGAACCGCAUGGUUCGAAAUUGAAAGGCGGCUUCGGCUGUCACUUAUGGAUGGACCCGCGUCGCAUUAGCUAGUUGGUGAGGUAACGGCUCACCAAGGCAACGAUGCGUAGCCGACCUGAGAGGGUGAUCGGCCACACUGGGACUGAGACACGGCCCAGACUCCUACGGGAGGCAGCAGUAGGGAGUCUUCCGCAAUGGACGAAAGUCUGACGGAGCAACGCCGCGUGAGUGAUGAAGGCUUUCGGGCCGUAAAACUCUGUUGUUAGGGAAGAACAAGUGCUAGUUGAAUAAGCUGGCACCUUGACGGUACCUAACCAGAAAGCCACGGCUAACUACGUGCCAGCCGCCGCGGUAA